GUCAGGAUGGCCAAGCGGUCUAAGGCGCUGCGUUCAGGUCGCAGUCUCCAAUGGAGGCGUGGGUUCAAAUCCCACUUCUGACA